UACGUAGGUGGCAAGCGUUGUCCGGAAUUAUUGGGCGUAAAGCGCGCGCAGGUGGUCCUUUAAGUCUGAUGUGAAAGCCCACGGCUCAACCGUGGAGGGUCAUUGGAAACUGGGGGACUUGAGUGCAGGAGAGAAGAGUGGAAUUCCACGUGUAGCGGUGAAAUGCGUAGAGAUCGGGAGGAACACCAGAGGCGAAAGCGGCGACCUGGACAGGCACUGACACUCAACUACGAAAGCGUGGGGAGCAAACAGG
rnacentral:rRNA from 1 species